rnacentral:rRNA from 1 species
AACGAACGCUGGCGGCAGGCUUAACACAUGCAAGUCGAGCGCCCCGCAAGGGGAGCGGCAGACGGGUGAGUAACGCGUGGGAAUCUACCCAUCUCUACGGAAUAACGCAUGGAAACGUGUGCUAAUACCGUAUACGUCCUUCGGGAGAAAGAUUUAUCGGAGAUGGAUGAGCCCGCGUUGGAUUAGCUAGUUGGUGGGGUAAAGGCCUACCAAGGCGACGAUCCAUAGCUGGUCUGAGAGGAUGAUCAGCCACACUGGGACUGAGACACGGCCCAGACUUCUACGGGAGGCAGCAGUGGGGAAGAUUGGAGAAUGGGCGCAAGCCAGAUCCAGCCAUGCCGCGGGGGUGAUGAAGGCCCUAGAGUUGUAAAGCUCUUUCACAGGUGAAGAUAAUGACGGUACCCGGAGAAGAAGCCCCGGCUAACUUCGUGCCAGCAGCCGCCGUAAAAC